rnacentral:rRNA from 1 species
UACGUAGGGGGCAAGCGUUGUCCGGAUUUAUUGGGCGUAAAGAGCGUGUAGGCGGCCAUACAGGUCAGCUGUGAAAACUCGAGGCUCAACCUCGAGACGUCGGUUGAAACCGUAUGGCUAGAGUCCGGAAGAGGAGAGUGGAAUUCACGGUGUAGCAGUGAAAUGCGUAGAUAUCGUGAGGAAGACCAGUGGCGAAGGCGGAUCUCUGGAGAGUUCCUGACGCUGAGGCACGAAGGCCAGGGGAGCAAACGGG